CCCCUGGUGGUCCAGUGGUUAAGACUCCGUGCUCCCAAGGCAGGGGGCCUGGGUUCGAUUCCUGGUUAGGGAA
rnacentral:tRNA from 1 species